rnacentral:rRNA from 1 species
AGCGAACGCUGGCGGCAGGCCUAACACAUGCGAGUCGAACGGACCCUUCGGGGUUAGUGGCGGACGGGUGAGUAACACGUGGGAACGUGCCUUUAGGUUCGGAAUAGCUCCUGGAAACGGGUGGUAAUGCCGAAUGUGCCCUUCGGGGGAAAGAUUUAUCGCCUUUAGAGCGGCCCGCGUCUGAUUAGCUUGUUGGUGAG